rnacentral:lncRNA from 1 species
UGGAGUCUGAUGACCAAGGGCAGGAAGCAUCCAGCACGGGACAAAGAAGAAAGCCAGAAGACUCAGCAAGCCAGCUCAUCUCACUUUCUUCUGCCUACUUUGUUGUAGCUGAGCUGGCAGCCAGUUGGAUGGUGCACACUCACAUUGAGGAUUGGGAGGCUGCUGUGUAUGGAUAAGAUACCUGCUACAGCCAGCUUGACACCAUGAGAAGGACAAGAGAAUUGCAGAGACACAUAUCCAGGAUUCUGAUCCAGUUGAGGCACUGAAAUAAUCUAGAACCACCUUCAAAUUUCUUAUAAAGAGAGCUAUGCUAUUAGGAUUUAAUUAAAUGGAUGCCAACAGCAAGUAAACCAUCUCCAAAGAUGCCAUGAAGCUCUCCUAAUUGCAGGAAAAUAUCAGAGGCACUUGAUUUGAGUCUUUCAAGUACGGAAAUAACAAAUUCAGUCUCAACAGACCUAUAGUGAAUGAGAAUGAUUGUCACAUAAUGUGUAGAGAAAAUGGAAGAAUCAAAGGCAAGGGAAACCUGUACAGUGGAGACACAAAGGGUCACUGGCAGAUUUCAAAUGAUCCAAGACAUCCUCAAGGAAGAUUUACCACAAGUUACUUUAUCAUAGCUUUGAGUGGCAUUUUAAUAUCAUAUUUUAAAAGAAAGAAAACAAUAGAAAUGUAUUAAAAUAUCUUCUCAAGAAUCCUUCCAAACCACAAGGAAAAUCACCAGGCCAAAAGUGAGGUUUGAAGUCUGGACAUGUACUGGUUUUCUCUAGCAAUCGACUCUCAAUUUUUGGACAUUGAGAUCUGCUGGUUGGAGAUCUUAGUGCCCAAGGAAGAAUGCUUGCAAAAGGAGAUGGAACAGUGUUUCUGUUGCAUUGGCCACUGAGAAUAUCUGGUUAUUUUGAAUUUGUCACAGUCUGCAGCUAAAAGGCGAACAGGAAAAGAAGAGAGAGCGGUAAUUUGAAUGAUAGCAGAUUUCACAUCAGGAACCAAUGAAGCUAGAUAAGAAUGCAACAUCUUUGAUGUCUAAAAGAAACAAAAAGCCAACCUUGAAUUCUUUAUUUAGUGAAGUUACCCUUCAGAAAUGACGGCAAAAUAAAGAUGUUUUCCAAUAAAAGACAACUAUGAGAAUUCUUCACCAGCAGUCCUAUUGUAUCAGAACAGCCAAAAGAAGUUUGUCAGCCUACAGGGAAUUAUAUCAAAGGGAAGACUUGACCUUGAAAAUGAAUGAGGAAUAUAAGAAAUUGAUAUUAUCUGGGAAGCGGCACAUGAGACUAGCAGGAGUAAAUGUUAUAUACACUGGGCCUCGCAAAAAUUCUGCAAUCACUGGGAAUCAGUAACCUGGUAGAAUGAGAAAACAACGUAAUACUGAAAAAUCAAAACACCAUCCUACAGAACUUUGAUGCAUUCAGAACAAAGAUCACGAAUCAAGCUGAAAAAGUAAAGCAUUCUGUGAGUUGUGGAAUGGAAAUUGCCUCAACCAUCUCACCACUUGAUGACACUUGUAAUUUCAGUGACCCAAUUCAAGCAAUCAAACAUCAAGUAAUACUCUCAAUAAAGAUGUGUAAUUAAAACAGAAGAGGAAACAGACUAACAGAAGUGAUGAAGAAUGGCAGUUCUAAGGAUGGCAGCAGGAAUUCACUGAAUGUCUAUCUAUCAUGUAUGCUGUUGGAGGCACCUGUCUUUCAGUUCAGAGGUUAUGGAUGUAUCUAUCAUCAGUAUUUCGGGAAGUCAGGGACCCGGAACAGAGGGACUUAAUGAAGCUGUGGCAGAAGAAAAAAUUAUGAAGAUUUCAUGGACAUUUAUUAGUUCCCCAAAUUAAUACUUUUAUAAUUUCUUACA